GAACGACAGCUGCGGCCACUAGGUUGUGUUACGUGCUCUCCUUCGCUCGCCAGUUGCGAGAUGAUAAGGCUACUGGAAAAUAAAUGUGUGCGUAUCUCUGUUGCAUGUAUACAAUCUUGCAACAGUGUACAGAUGAAGAUACCAGUGUGAACGCCGGAAAGGGUAUAAGUAAAACGGAUACGGCCCGGCGAUGUUAAAUAAAUAAGAGUAUCCAAUCACGAUCUGACGCAUACGCAUGAUUAGACAUUUAACUGACACGAGUAUUUCUAUCAAUCAGCUUUAUGAAAUUACGUUUUCUGCGAUGGUUGAAAACAAAUGGAAAAGUCCACAAGAAUGAAGUAACCGAAUUUUCUCAAGCGAAACUUUCCGAAAAAGUGACUCAUCGCGUCGCCAAAGAAAAACAAGAUCCAGCGCAAAUGGAUCCAUAUGCAUAAAUAUGAUUGCUCACAAUGGCAGUAUGUAUAUAAAGCACUGACUGCUGCCACUUGGGAAUCGAUACUCGGCUUCUAGUGGUAACUGGUUGAAUUGCUAUAGCAACAUCCGAUCAAAACAGAAGAUGGGUAUUUAGAACACGGCUUGUUAAUAAUGUGUCGAAGAUAAUAUGUAGAAAGAGAAAAAAUGAGAUUUCGAGUGAUCGGCAUUCGGAUUAAUGUUCAUCGUUACAAGACUAAUUUCAAGCAUAGGCACAAGAAAAUGUAUGUUUAUAAAUUAUGCUUAUUUGAAUCUGUUCUAACUGCUAAAAGAUAUCAAAAUUGUACAAUAAUGUUAAUGAGUUUGUGUGCGUGUGUGUCUAAACUAUUAUAAUAAAUAAUUUAAACAGAUAUCUGUCUGCAUACAGAUUGCUUAAGGAAUUUGUUAUAAUAGAAAAUUAUAACGAGAAUUUACAUGGUACUUUUUUACAAAUAUUACGUCUUCUUUUCAACAAUUAUAUUUAUAAGCAGUAUUACCAAUAUUACAAGUCUACAAUGAUACACUUCAAUAUUAUAAAAUCGUGAACGGAGAUUCAGGAGGGAGCAACGCAAAAAGGCUCGUAAUAAAUCUCGUCUUCAAUCAACUUAAAA